GCGAAGAGAGAGGCCAGUCAUCCACUGCUGAAACACGUUGGAGAAGGACCAGUGGGUGGGAGGCAGCAUCAAGCAAGGGCAUGGAGAUGCAGCUUGGACGUGGACAUCGAUACAGCGUGUGCCUCAGAAAUAUAACCAAAAAGACUAGUGCUUCACUGCUAAUAAGAAAGCGGACAUGACUCACUACUCCUAAAGCCCUGCCUGCCUGCCAUCUCCUCCAAGGCUGCAGACGCCCGGCCUGCCACACUGUCGGCACUGCCACUGGCCUUGGCACGUGCACAGCAUCCUGCGCGUGCACAGCAUCCUGCGCGGGGGCACACGUCGGC